AACGAACGCUGGCGGCAUGCCUAACACAUGCAAGUCGAACGAGACCUUCGUGUCUGCUGGCGCUCAGGUGCGUCACGCGUGGGAACCUGCCCUUAGGUUCGGAAUACCACCCCGAAAGGGGUGCUAAUACCGGAUAAUGUCUUCGGACCAAGGAUAUAUCGCCCUUGGUUGGGCCCGCGUUGGUUUAGCAGGUGGGUAGGGUAAAAGCCUACCAAGGCGAGGAUCCAUAGCUGGUCUGAGAGGAUGGUCGGCCACACUGCGACGAGGACACGGCCAGACUCAUACGGGAGGCAGCAGUGGGGAAUAUUGGACAAUGGGCGAAAGCCUGAUCCAGCAAUGCCGCGUGAGUGAUGAAGGCCUUAGGGUUGUAAAGCUCUUUUACCCGGGAUGAUAAUGACAGUACCGGGAGAAUAAGCCCCGGCUAACUCCGUG
rnacentral:rRNA from 1 species